ACAGACUCACUUUGCACCUGGCUGUAGCCUCAUGGGGGUGCUUUUUCCAUGUGCCAGGGAAACAUUCUGGGGCGUUGUGGCUGCCUGGCCUAUCAAGGGUGAUGCAACUGUCUGGGGAUACAGGA
ensembl:snoRNA